CCGACCGGAUAUUAAAAAAAGCAAAUCUCAUAAACUUCUUUCAGCCUUCUGACUCCUGGAGUAAUGAAGGCUGCUUUUUUCGUUACCCCCUUCCCCGGCAACGCCGGUGGCAGUGUGCAGCCCUUUCCCGGGCUGCUUUCUCGGCCAGCUUCUGCUUUUUCACCUUCCACUUUGGUGGCGUGGUGA
rnacentral:antisense_RNA from 1 species